rnacentral:rRNA from 1 species
CAGCAGUAGGGAAUCUUGGACAAUGGGUGAAAGCCUGAUCCAGCCAUGCCGUCGUGAGUGAUGAAGGCCUUAGGGUUGUAAAGCUCUUUCGCCAGGGAAGAUAAUGACGGUACCUGGAUAAGAAGCCCCGGCUAACUUUGUGCCAGCAGCCGCGGUAAUACGAAGGGGGCUAGCGUUGUUCGGAAUUACUGGGCGUAAAGCGCACGUAGGCGGCAUUCCAAGUUGGAGGUGAAAUCCCCGGGCUUAACCUGGGAUCUGCCUCCAAAACUGGGAAGCUCGAGUCCGAGAGAGGUGAGUGGAAUUUCCAGUGUAGAGGUGAAAUUCGUAGAUAUUGGAAAGAACACCAGUGGCGAAGGCGGCUCACUGGCUCGGUACUGACGCUGAGGAGCGACAGCGUGGGGAGCAAACAGGAUUAGAUACCCUGGUAGUCCACGCCGUAAACUAUGGGUGCUAGUUGUCGGGCAGCUUGCUGUU